GCCGGGCGUGGUGGCGGGCGCCUGUAGUCCCAGCUACUCGGGAGGCUGAGGCAGGAGAAUCACUUGAACCCGGGAGGCGGAGGUUGCAGUGAGCCGAGAUGGUGCCCCUGCACUCCAGCCUGGGCAACAAGAGCAAAAACUCUGUCUCAAAAAAAAAAAAAAAAAGAAGAAGAAGAAGAAGAAUAAAAAGACAGAGUCUGGCUCUGUCGCCCAGGCUGGAGUGCAGCGGCAUGAUCUCGGUUCACUGCAACCUCCGCCUCCCGGGUUCAAGUGAUUCUCCUGCCUCAG
rnacentral:SRP_RNA from 1 species